rnacentral:rRNA from 1 species
AGAGUUUGAUUAUGGCUCAGAACGAACGCUGGUGGCGUGUCUUAUACAUGCAAGUCGAGCGAGGCAGCAAUGCCGAGCGGCGAACGGGUGAGUAACGCGUAAGCAAUCUGCCCCACAUCAGGAAAUACCCGUGCCAACGCGCGGUUAAUGUCCAGGAGAGUGGCCCUCUGCAUGGAGGGUUGACUAGAGAUUUAUCGGUAUGGGAUGAGCUUGCGUCCGAUUAACUAGUUGGCGGGGCAACGGCCCACCAAGGCGACGAUCGGUAGCCGGCCUGAGAGGGUGAUCGGCCACAUUGGGACUGAGAUACGGCCCAGACUCCUACGGGAGGCAGCAGUAGGGAAUAUUGCACAAUGGGGGAAACCCUGAUGCAGCAACGCCACGUGUGGGAAAAGAAGCAUUUCGGUGUGUAAACCACUGUCAUGAGGGAAUAAGGCCGCCUUCCGGACGGACUUGAAUGUACCUUGAGAGGAAGCACCGGCAAACUUCGUGCCAGCAGCUGC